rnacentral:rRNA from 1 species
UGAGGAAUAUUGGUCAAUGGGCGGGAGCCUGAACCAGCCAAGCCGCGUGAGGGAAGAAGGCCCUAUGGGUCGUAAACCUCUUUUGUCAGGGAACAAAAGCGAGUAUGUAUACUAGUCUGAGUGUACCUGAAGAAAAAGCAUCGACUAACUCCGUGCCAGCAGCCGCGGUAAUACGGAGGAUGCGAGCGUUAUCCGGAUUUAUUGGGUUUAAAGGGUGCGUAGGCGGCGAUGCAAGUCAGCGGUAAAAGCCCGGGGCUCAACCCCGGCGAGCCGUUGAAACUGCAGUGCUAGAGAAGGCGAGAGGUACGCGGAAUGCGCAGUGUAGCGGUGAAAUGCUUAGAUAUUGCGCAGAACUCCGAUUGCGAAGGCAGCGUACUGGCGCCUGACUGACGCUGAGGCACGAAAGCGUGGGGAUCGAACAGGAUUAGAUACCC